rnacentral:rRNA from 1 species
CGGUACGUACUGGCAUUGUUGGUUUCUCCCUUCUGACGAACCAUGAUGUCAUUUAUUUGGUGUUGUGGGGAAUCAGGACUGUUACUUUGAAAAAAUUAGAGUGUUUAAAGCAGGCUCACGCUUGAAUACAUUAGCAUGGAAUAAUGAAAUAGGACGUUUGAUUCUAUUUUGUUGGUUUCUAGGAUCGACGUAAUGAUUAAUAGGGAUAGUUGGGGGCAUUAGUAUUCAAUUGUCAGAGGUGAAAUUCUUGGAUUUAUUGAAGACUAACUACUGCGAAAGCAUUUGCCAAGGAUGUUUUCAUUAAUCAAGAACGAAAGUUAGGGGAUCGAAGACGAUCAGAUACCGUCGUAGUCUUAACCAUAAACUAUGCCGACUAGGGAUCGGGUGAUGUUAAUUUUUUAAUGACUCAUUCGGCGCCUUACG